rnacentral:lncRNA from 1 species
CCAUAACAUGGAAGUCAAGUAAACGUAACUCGAGGUGACAACUAAGCAUGAACCUUAGAAUUUGGACUGUAAAAUGACUUCAAAAGUCUCAAACAUCAUUUAUUUACAAGGUAAUGUACAUUUUUAAGUUCUUAAAAAUAAAAAGUCUCAAACAUAAAAGUACAAAAACUUAAAAAGCAUAAUGUAGGCUAUGUCACAUACGCUUGAACUCAGGGAAUCCAUCUGAAUCAGUGAACAAUGACAAACCAUAUUUAGCUGAGACUAUAAAGGUACAUCCACAUACAAUGACAAUAACAGUAAGAGACUUAAAAUGCAUAAUAUUUCUACAAUGGUUGGAGAAUUGCCAAGCUUGGGAGGAAUUGGUCCAUUGAAUCGAAGUCAAAAAUCUUUCAUUUUCAUAAAAGCUAAUUUCCUUUAGUAUUUUGUACCAUCACAUGUAUACUCAUUCAAAGUCCUGCAUAUCAACAAUAUAGUAACAUAAAAAUUUUUUGAAAAAUUUCGAAUGUUAGAAGCUAAUACUUAUCCUUUAUUGGGAAAUAGCUUAUAAUUUCCACGAAAAAGAGAUUUCGUACAAGUAUUGAAAGAAAAUCCAUUUAAGAAGCAUCAUAAACGUUACUGUAAAAGAGAAAGUGAACAUGCAAAUUAGAGGCUCUACUGAUAUGUUCCAAGAUAUAUCAAAUAAAUUGAAUUUUAUUGAAAAAAAUUAAUAACCAAAUAAAUAUACAAAAAGUACAAAAAUUAUAUAAGUGGAAGACACUUCUUCAAGUUUUUAUGACGACAGAUCUUGCGUCAUAAAGCAAAGUUUCCAAGUCUAUCAUAAGAAUCUAAGUCAAAGACAUUCUAAUUAAUUCGGUAAGUCAAAAAAGUAAUGUGUUCUUUUUGCUUUGAGCUUCAAGAAUCUUAAAGUGAAGUCAAUAAUUUAUCAAGAUAAUCUUAAUAUGCAAUCACCAAUAUAUCUAGAUACAUACAUAUAUCUAGAUGCUACAUUAGCCAAUAACAUUAAAGCGCCCCACUGUUGGACUCUUAUUUUGAAGACAGACAACCAAGAAAAGUCAAUAUUUUAUUAGCGGCAGCCAGCAGGGAUCACUAUAUUCUGCAUUUAACAUAUAUCAAGUCCUAUAACCUUUUCAUUGUGAAAUUACUCAUUCCUCAUGAAUAAGAUAUCAUAAUAUUUCAAGCCAGCAUCACUGAGUUGACCAGAAAUUGCAUUAUAAUGUCCAUGUUGUUUCUUAUUGCUUGCAAUUAGUGUUUAGAGUGUCUCUCAAGUUGGACUUCUUUGAACUAUUCAGGAAGCAUCUCUAUCCCACUGAUCUCAAACUGAUGGACAAAUUAAAUAUGAAGAUCAAAAUAACACAAUGAAUGCAAUCACGUAGAAAAACCUCCUUCAAAUGAUAAUAAUAGAAGGACUCAACAACAUAAUAAGUAAAGGAAAUAUAAACAGAUGAAUUUUCUCAAUUAACAAAACCAAACUUUUUAUAUCUAGUGUUUUUGGUGAAUCUUGCUCUAAUGAAGUUGUACCUUUCCUGUUUCCCUCUCGCUACCACCACGCUGAAAGCAAUAAGAACUUUUAAGAAGAAACUAAAAAAAGGGGAAAUAUUUUAGUAUCUUGAAAAAAGAAAUUUUCAAUUGAAAAUACAUUACCAGCGUUGGGUGGUUAAAGACCAGAAGCAGAGAGAACAUUAUUUUUGGGUUAACACAUCCAUGGACUCUUGUAAUCACUAAUAGCUGGUGAAGCUAAUCCAGUAUUCAUCUACCAAAUAUAAGAAAUCAUAAUUCCCAAUCAGUAGAUCUGAAGGUCAGUGUCAUGGUACUAUCUGAAGAAUCGUCUUUAAAGAGCUGCAUAAAAGAUAUAAGUCUCUGCUUCGCACAAGUUUGCCCAUUAAAAACUACUAUAAAGUAGACAUAUAACUGGAACACUUCUUUGCAGAGAACUAUCAUACAUUUCCAUUACUUGAACACAUUAAUGGUGGCCAUAUUGUCCCAUUUCCUUCCUUAUAUCAUAUUGCCGGACACAUAAAUAUCAUGUCAAAGAUAACCAAAUAACAACGAAGCUAAUUUUCAGUUAAGUGUCGAAUGAGUAUAGAAUAUCAACUCUGUAUAUAAUAAAAUGUAAGAGACGAAUGUAGUGGACGAAGUAUAACAAUUAGCAUGGCCAAAAAAAAAACCACGGUGCAGCUAUUUGGAGAAAUCAUAACCUGUUCCGAGAGUAGCAAGCUUAAGCCAACAUUAACUGUUGGUAUGCACGGACUGAGAUGGGAAAAUGUUCAGAGUUUGUGGUCUCAUUCUAUAUUUCUUUGCAACUUCUCAAGAAUGGAAGCUUCUAUAUUUCUGACAGGUUAUGUAUUUUAGCUCUUUGGAAAAAGCCGCAGCAAAAAGAUGGGAAAAACAAAUAUAUGUCCACACUACUACAUCUAUCAACUUAAAUAAACAAAGAAAACAACCUCAUGUCAAUUACUAUACACUAUGUAACAAUCUAAUACUCGGCAACACAAUUAUACACUAUGACUAUAACAAUUAUGCCAAUCAAUCUAUGGUAACUCUAGCAUUCUAUAGGACCUUAUACUGUUUCCUGUGUGCUCGUCAAGUUUAGCACUUGCGAAAUUCAACUUGAGCUCUAAAGGAUUACCUGUUAGUUUUGUAUGAUACCGUCAAUUUAAUCUGUAAUCUCAUUGUUCUAAUCUCAACUUUGAGAUUUAUGAUAGCAUACAUGUGUUGAUACAUCAUAUUUGUUAUUAUAACCCGGCAAAUUCAAUUCGAAGGAAGAAUUUCGACUCUCCUAGAUCUUUUAUCUUGAAAUUUCGGUGUAGUACCUCUUAGAUUCUUCAACCAUCUUGUCAUCGUCCGUGUGAUCAGCAAGUUAUUGACAUAUAAAAGGAUCACAAGUUCACAACCAUGUUACUGCCAUGUCUUCUGGUGAACAAAAAGCAAUAUAAGAAAUAAAUCUCUCAAAAAAUACAAAAGUGGCAUUACUAUAUCAUUUUCAUAACUUUGAUGACCAUAUUAAAUAAAUCCAAAGAAUAUAACUUUUUUUUUUCAUUAACAAAGGAUAAAUUAAACUUUGGCAUAUUAAAUUUGAGCAAAAAAAGAUAUCCAUUUUAAAUUCACAUUCUUUUAUAGUGAGUUAACUUUACCAACUACAAUACAUCUUAAACAGUAUAGUGAAAGUACCAAUCACUGCUUAUAAAAAUAAAGAAUGUUAUGUCACCAUAGAAUAAUAACAGACAAGGAAAUUCACCCAUGAAAUAGAAAAUUGUUAAGAGAUCUCAAAGAAGAAGAAGAAGAAGACAAAGAAAAAAAGAAAAAGAUUGGAGCAAAAACCGUGAGAGAAUCAUACCCGAAAUGGUUUCUUCAAAUUCUGAAGAAGGAGAACUCAAAGAGUUCACCUAAGUUUUUGAUGGAACAUAGGAGAGAUGUUUCUAGACCCAUAUCUUUCGUUUGUGUCGAAAUAGUGAGCACUGUUAAAGAUAGAAAUAGGGGAAAAAUAAAAUGG